rnacentral:rRNA from 1 species
AACGAACGCUGGCGGCAUGCCUAACACAUGCAAGUCGAACGAGAUCUUCGGGUCUAGUGGCGCACGGGUGCGUAGCGCGUGGGAAUCUGCCCUUUGGUUCGGAAUAACAGUUGGAAACGACUGCUAAUACCGGAUGAUGACGAAAGUCCAAAGAUUUAUCGCCAGAGGAUGAGCCCGCGUAGGAUUAGCUAGUUGGUGUGGUAAAGGCGCACCAAGGCGACGAUCCUUAGCUGGUCUGAGAGGAUGAUCAGCCACACUGGGACUGAGACACGGCCCAGACUCCUACGGGAGGCAGCAGUGGGGAAUAUUGGACAAUGGGCGAAAGCCUGAUCCAGCAAUGCCGCGUGAGUGAUGAAGGCCUUAGGGUUGUAAAGCUCUUUUACCCGGGAUGAUAAUGACAGUACCGGGAGAAUAAGCUCCGGCUAACUCCGUGCCAGCAGCCGCGGUAA